rnacentral:rRNA from 1 species
UACGUAGGGGCCUAGCGUUGUCCGGAUUUAUUGGGCGUAAAGAGCUCGUAGGCGGUUUGGUGAGUCGGGUGUGAAAUCUCCACGCUCAACCUGGAGACGCCACCUGAUACUGCUGUGGCUAGAGUCCGGUAGGGGAGCAUGGAAUUCCUGGUGUAGCGGUGAAAUGCGCAGAUAUCAGGAGGAACACCAGUGGCGAAGGCGGUGCUCUGGGCCGGAACUGACGCUGAGGAGCGAAAGCCAGGGGAGCAAACGGG